rnacentral:rRNA from 2 species
UGAUUGAUGGUGCUUGCACCUGAUUGACGAUGGAUCACCAGUGAGUGGCGGACGGGUGAGUAACACGUAGGUAACCUGCCCCGGAGCGGGGGAUAACAUUUGGAAACAGAUGCUAAUACCGCAUAACAACAAAAGCUGCAUGGCUUUUGUUUGAAAGAUGGCUUUGGCUAUCACUCUGGGAUGGACCUGCGGUGCAUUAGCUAGUUGGUAAGGUAACGGCUUACCAAGGCGAUGAUGCAUAGCCGAGUUGAGAGACUGAUCGGCCACAAUGGAACUGAGACACGGUCCAUACUCCUACGGGAGGCAGCAGUAGGGAAUCUUCCACAAUGGGCGCAAGCCUGAUGGAGCAACACCGCGUGAGUGAAGAAGGGUUUCGGCUCGUAAAGCUCUGUUGUUGGAGAAGAACGUGCGUGAGAGUAACUGUUCACGCAGUGACGGUAUCCAACCAGAAAGUCACGGCUAACUACGUGCCAGCAGCCGCGGUAAUACGUAGGUGGCAAGCGUUAUCCGGAUUUAUUGGGCGUAAAGCGAGCGCAGGCGGUUGCUUAGGUCUGAUGUGAAAGCCUUCGGCUUAACCGAAGAAGUGCAUCGGAAACCGGGCGACUUGAGUGCAGAAGAGGACAGUGGAACUCCAUGUGUAGCGGUGGAAUGCGUA